AUUCAUAAGAGAAAAUAACAUGAUUAUUUAAAUAAAUUCGGAAUUGUACAAAAUUUAAUAUAGAAACAUGAUUUUAAAUACAAAAUUUUAAGAAAGGUUUUAAGUCCAAUAAAUUUUAAAGCUUACAAAAAAAAAACAAUGUUAUGGAAACCUACAUAUUGGCCAACUGUACUCCAGAUCUCAGAGAUUUUUCUAAUCAUUCUAACAUCAACCUGAUUGUAAGUGAAACAAUAAUUUUAAAAAACGAACCGUUGUAGCUCUCAAAUAAGACCACGAACUGGUGUGAAUUCCCUCAUGGUCUAUGCCGCAGUAUUAACUUAAGCCUUUCAUUAAGAGCAGCUAAUCAACUGGAAGAGGAAGCUAACAAUUUCAUUGUAAAUGUACAAAGGCAGUCUGGAAUAACACAUCAAUCAAAAAGGCAUACACUUACCGUAAUCGCUUACCCAAAAUGCCAGAGAAAAUUAUACUCUGUAGAAAUGAGUAAAUUUUUAAAUUAGGGAAGAAAAGAAAAGCCGGUAAAAGAUAGAAAAUGUAUUACUGUCCUCCAGACAAAACCAGAAUUAUCCAAUUAAGUAACAAACUAAAGAAACUUCUACAGGCCAAAAAAAAAUUUUAUUUUUAUUCUAUCUUAUAUUAUAUCAUUAAUCAACAAAUUAUGUAAAUAUCAAUUAUUUAACUAUGAAGAACAAAGCUUUUACUUUUA